rnacentral:tRNA from 1 species
GCAUUGGUGGUUCAGUGGUAGAAUCCUUGCCUUUCAUGCUGAAGAUUUGAUUUGAGUUUCAACCUGUGCA